rnacentral:rRNA from 1 species
AUUGAACGCUGGCGGCAGGCCUAACACAUGCAAGUCGAGCGAGCGGCGGACGGGUGAGUAAUGUAUGGGAAACUGCCUGAUGGAGGGGGAGAACUACUGGAAACGGUAGCUAAUACCGCAUACCAUCAGAUGUGCCCAGAUGGGAGUAGCGAGUAGGUGGGGUAACGGCUCCCCUAGGCGACGAUCCCUAGCUGGUCUGAGAGGCUGACCAGCCACACUGGAACGGAGACACGGUCCAGACGCCUACGGUAGGCAGCAGUGGGGAAUGUUGCAAUAGGGGCGGAAGCCUGAUGCAGCCAUGCCGCGUGUGUGAAGAAGGCCUUCGGGUGGUAAAGCACUUUCAGCGGGGAUGCGUUACCCGCAGAAGAAGCACCGGCUAACUCCGUGCCAGCAGCCGCGGUAAUUC